GGGGAUGUAGCUCAGUUGGCUAGAGUGCUUGACUGGCAGUCAAGAGGUCGUGGGUUCGAAUCCCAUCUUCUCCAC
rnacentral:tRNA from 2 species